CAGCCGCCGCGGGAAUACGAGGGGGGCAAGCGUUGUUCGGAAUUAUUGGGCGUAAAGGGUGCGUAGGCGGUUUGGCAAGUUUGGUGUGAAAUCUUCGGGCUCAACUCGAAGUCUGCAUCGAAAACUGCCGGGCUUGAGUAUGGGAGAGGUGAGUGGAAUUUCCGGUGUAGCGGUGAAAUGCGUAGAUAUCGGAAGGAACACCUGUGGCGAAAGCGGCUCACUGGACCAUAACUGACGCUGAUGCACGAAAGCUAGGGGAGCAAACAGGAUUAGAUACCCGUGUAGUCCCUGUCUCUUAUAC
rnacentral:rRNA from 1 species